ensembl:lncRNA
AUGUACCAUAACACCCUGUAUAUAGCCUCCUCAUUGACUCUGUACCGGUACGCCCUGUAUAUAGCCUCCACAUUGACUCUGUACUGGUACCCCCUGUAUAUAGUCUCCACAUUGACUCUGUACCAUAACACCCUGUAUAUAGCCUCCACAUUGACUCUGUACCGGUACGCCCUGUAUAUAGCCUCCACAUUGACUCUGUACCAGUACCCCCUGUAUAUAGCCUCCACAUUAACUCUGUCCCGGUACCCCCUGUAUAUAGCCUCCACAUUGACUCUGUACCGGUACCCCCUGUAUAUAGCCUCCACAUUGACUCUGUACCGGUACCCCCUGUAUAUAGCCUCCACAUUAACUCUGUCCCGGUACCCCCUGUAUAUAGCCUCCACACUGACUCUGUACCAGUACCAUCUGUAUAUAGCCUCCACAUUGACUCUGUACCAUAACACCCUGUAUAUAGCCUCCACAUUGACUCUGUACCAUAACACCCUGUAUAUAGCCUCCACACUGACUCUGUACCGGUACCCCCUGUAUAUAGCCUCCACAUUAACUCUGUCCCGGUACACCCUGUAUAUAGCCUCCACACUGACUCUGUACCAGUGCCAUCUGUAUAUAGCCUCCACAUUGACUCUGUACCAUAACACCCUGUAUAUAGUCUCCACAUUGACUCUGUACCGGUACCCCCCCUGUAUAUAGCCUCCACAUGACUCUGUACCGGUAGCCCCUGUAUAUAGCCUCCCACAUUGACUAUGUACCAUAACACCCUGUAUAUAGCCUCCACAUUGACUCUGUACCGGUACCCCCUGUAUAUAGCCUCCUCAUUGACUCUGUACCGGUACGCCCUGUAUAUAGCCUCCACAUUGACUCUGUACUGGUACCCCCUGUAUAUAGCCUCCACAUUGACUCUGUACCAUAACACCCUGUAUAUAGCCUCCACAUUGACUCUGUACCGGUACCCCCUGUAUAUAGCCUCCACAUUGACUCUGUACCGGUACCCCCUGUAUAUAGCCUCCACAUUAACUCUGUCCCGGUACCCCCUGUAUAUAGCCUCCACAUUGACUCUGUACCGGUACCCCCUGUAUAUAGCCUCCACAUUGACUCUGUACCGGUAGCCCCUGUAUAUAGCCUCCACAUUGACUAUGUACCAUAACACCCUGUAUAUAGCCUCCACAUUGACUCUGUACCGGUACCCCCUGUAUAUAGCCUCCUCAUUGACUCUGUACCGGUACGCCCUGUAUAUAGCCUCCACAUUGACUCUGUACUGGUACCCCCUGUAUAUAGUCUCCACAUUGACUCUGUACCAUAACACCCUGUAUAUAGCCUCCACAUUGACUCUGUACCGGUACCCCCUGUAUAUAGCCUCCACAUUGACUCUGUACCAGUACCCCCUGUAAUAUAGCCUCCACAUUAACUCUGUCCCGGUACCCCUGUAUAUAGCCUCCACAUUGACUCUGUACCGUACCCCCUGUAUAUAGCCUCCACAUUGACUCUGUACCGGUACCCCCUGUAUAUAGCCUCCACAUUAACUCUGUCCCGGUACCCCCUGUAUAUAGCCUCCACACUGACUCUGUACCAGUACCAUCUGUAUAUAGCCUCCACAUUGACUCUGUACCAUAACACCCUGUAAUAUAGCCUCCACAUUGACUCUGUACCAUAACACCCUGUAUAUAGCCUCCACACUGACUCUGUACCGGUAACCCCCUGUAUAU